UACGUAGGGGGCAAGCGUUGUCCGGAUUUACUGGGCGUAAAGAGCGCGCAGGCGGUCGUUCAAGUCGAGUGUGAAAGCCCCCGGCUCAACUGGGGAGGGUCAUUCGAUACUGAUCGACUCGAAGGCAGGAGAGGGAAGUGGAAUUCCCGGUGUAGUGGUGAAAUGCGUAGAUAUCGGGAGGAACACCGGUGGCGAAAGCGGCUCACUGGGUCUUAUCUGACGCUGAGGCACGAAAGCCAGGGGAGCAAACGGG
rnacentral:rRNA from 1 species